rnacentral:misc_RNA from 1 species
AACGCACCUUGCGCUCCUUGGUAUUCCGAGGAGCAUGCCUGUUUGAGUGUCUUGAAAUCAUCAGCCCCUCCCGUUGCCCGUGCUUCGGGAGAAGGUUGGACGUGGGGGUCCGUGCCGCCGCGAGGCGGCUCCCCUCAAAUUCGUCGGCUGGGCCUGUGGGUCGAACUCGGUCGGGCGUUGUACCAUCCUCGCUCUGUCUCCGAGGCGCUUCACCUCUGCGUGCCCUCCCUUGACCUGCCUCUGGAGUGGCGGUCAAAUGACUUUUGAAAUCUGACCUCAAAUCAGGUAGGACUACCCGCUGAACUUAA